UGAGUAACCUGCCCUUCACUCUGGGAUAACAUCGGGAAACCGGUGCUAAUACUGGAUAUGACCUGCUCGGGUAUCCGAUGUGGGUGGAAAGAUUCAUUGGUGGAGGAUGGACUCGCGGCCUAUCAGCUUGUUGGUGAGGUAAUGGCUCACCAAGGCGACGACGGGUAGCCGGCCUGAGAGGGCGAUCGGCCACACUGGGACUGAGACACGGCCCAGACUCCUAGGGAGG
rnacentral:rRNA from 1 species